GAUGAACGCUGGCGGCGUGCCUAAUACAUGCAAGUCGAGCGAACGGACGAGAAGCUUGCUUCUCUGAUGUUAGCGGCGGACGGGUGAGUAACACGUGGAUAACCUACCUAUAGGACUGGGAUAACUUCGGGAAACCGGAGCUAAUACCGGAUAAUAUUUUGAACCGCAUGGUUCAAAAGUGAAAGACGGUCUUGCUGUCACUUAUAGAUGGAUCCGCGCUGCAUUAGCUAGUUGGUAAGGUAACGGCUUACCAAGGCAACGAUGCAUAGCCGACCUGAGAGGGUGAUCGGCCACACUGGAACUGAGGCACGGUCCAGACUCCUACGGGAGGCAGCAGUAGGGAAUCUUCCGCAAUGGGCGAAAGCCUGACGGAGCAACGCCGCGUGAGUGAUGAAGGUCUUCGGAUCGUAAAACUCUGUUAUUAGGGAAGAACAUAUGUGUAAGUAACUGUGCACAUCUUGACGGUACCUAAUCAGAAAGCCACGGCUAACUACGUG
rnacentral:rRNA from 1 species